GUUAAGUCAGAUGUGAAAUCCCCGGGCUCAACCUGGGAACUGCAUCUGAUACUGGCAAGCUUGAGUCUCGUAGAGGGGGGUAGAAUUCCAGGUGUAGCGGUGAAAUGCGUAGAGAUCUGGAGGAAUACCGGUGGCGAAGGCGGCCCCCUGGACGAAGACUGACGCUCAGGUGCGAAAGCGUGGGGAGCAAACAGGAUUAGAUACCCUGGUAGUCCACGCCGUAAACGAUGUCGACUUGGAGGUUGUGCCCUUGAGGCGUGGCUUCCGGAGCUAACGCGUUAAGUCGACCGCCUGGGGAGUACGGCCGCAAGGUUAAAACUCAAAUGAAUUGACGGGGGCCCGCACAAGCGGUGGAGCAUGUGGUUUAAUUCGAUGCAACGCGAAGAACCUUACCUGGUCUUGACAUCCACGGAAGUUUUCAGAGAUGAGAAUGUGCCUUCGGGAACCGUGAGACAGGUGCUGCAUGGCUGUCGUCAGCUCGUGUUGUGAAAUGUUGGGUUAAGUCCCGCAACGAGCGCAACCCUUAUCCUUUGUUGCCAGCGGUCCGGCCGGGAACUCA
rnacentral:rRNA from 1 species